rnacentral:rRNA from 1 species
UACACUCCUACGGGAGGCAGCAGUAGGGAAUCUUCCACAAUGGGUGCAAACCUGAUGGAGCAAUGCCGCGUGAGUGAAGAAGGUCUUCGGAUCGUAAAGCUCUGUUGUUAGAGAAGAACACGUGCUAGGUAACUACUAGCGCCUUGACGGUAUCUAACCAGAAAGUCACGGCUAACUACGUGCCAGCAGCCGCGGUAAUACGUAGGUGACAAGCGUUGUCCGGAUUUAUUGGGCGUAAAGGGAGCGCAGGCGGUCUGUUUAGUCUAAUGUGAAAGCCCACGGCUUAACCGUGGAACGGCAUUGGAAACUGACAGACUUGAAUGUAGAAGAGGAAAAUGGAAUUCCAAGUGUAGCGGUGGAAUGCGUAGAUAUUUGGAGGAACACCAGUGGCGAAGGCGAUUUUCUGGUCUAACAUUGACGCUGAGGCUCGAAAGCGUGGGGAGCGAACAGGAUUAGAAACCCCUGUAGUCCCAUG